CAGUUAUUGUCUGUGCCAACUCUGCGUGGCAGUCAAACAAAAGCUGCGCCUAAGUUUGACCCCCAGGAAUGUGUCUCUUAGACACACAGUGUUGUCUAACACUGGGGACAGGGCUAUUUCAAAGUUCAUUUUACUCUUGUUCUUCCAAGGUCCUUGACACCCACAGCAGAACUUCAGGGGCUUUGCAGCAAACACCACCCUUGGAAGAAGAAAGACCUUGGCCACCUCUUCCAUCACCUCCUCAACAUUCACCUUAAAAUUUUCCCAGCACCAUGUCAGCUUACUCUAAGAUACUGUCCCGUUCAUGCACUAUCCAAAAGGAACAGAAAUUGCCCUGCAAAGUUUUCAGCCGUUGAAUGAAAAAGCAACCACCUCUGGAAAGAAACAUGGGACUAAAAAGACUCAAAAAUGACAGCUGUAUUAUACGACGAUAUAGCACAGAGCGGAGGAAAGAAAAGAAUGCGCCCAUCUGAAAUGGCAAAGGGGAGACUAGGGAGAAGAGAGUAAAUACACAGAAUGGAAAAUAGCAGGAGCAACAGCUAAUUCCUCAAAAAGCAGGUGGAAGAGAAUGAAUGACCAUGUGUGGACAGACAGUGCAUGUUACGUUUUAUAUAAGAAAUUUUCAGCUUGGAUCAGAGAAGCUGGGACACCCAUAGGCUUUUUGCUGAGAGAUCUGAGAGAGCCAACAGAGGGAAGUGAGCCAACUACAAGGGCUUAUUUUAGACUUCCACCUCCAGCAGGCAAAGCCUGGGGGGCUUCGAAUUAAAAACAGAAUGGAAAUCAGUGUUUUCUUCCAAAACAGGUCAGCCAGACCCCGUCAACACCACAAGGUGGGGUUAGUCCAGCGUCGAUCCGCUGCCGACAAACGCCAGCUCUUGGCUCCUCUGGGCACACCUCCUCCCUGUAUUCUCUUCCAGGUAUGGUGAUAUUUAGCUACCUUUACUAAUAGUAAACACUCAUUUUUUUUCUCAAGCAGAUAUGGGGUUGUCCAGCCACCCUGCAUGCCGGUAAGCAAAGGGAAGGCUGACCUGUGUCAAUUGGCUUAAUGUCUUCAUUGCUUCUCCCCAUUGGCACUGGCCCGAGUGACCCGUGUGUCCCCAAGGGACAGGAGAGAGGUCCUAGAGGACAGGCAGUGCCUUCAGUGCUGGAAGUUGGACAUAGACCGGCAAGAGCAGAGGAGCAUUCAAUAAAUUUAGAUUCCCCCUGAAAGACUUGAGAAGGCUCACAGAACCAUAUGCCAGUGGAAUGGAAAAUAUAAAUAUCUCAUAAUGAGAUAGGCACUUGAGUCUCAGGAAGAUUAAGAAAGAAAUGCAGAGAAAAGAACGGAUGGCAGUGGGGCAGAUGGGGAAAAGGAAGUAUUUCUUGGGUAUUUCUGCCAUAAGGACAAAAAGAUCCCAUGGGUGACAAAUUAAACAUGUUAUUAUUCCUGAGCAAGAUGCUAUUGUCUUUGUUUGCUAAGGCUCCCAGUUCUCUUCCCACAUUUUCCAAUCACUGGCCUACAUGGGGAGCAAUUAUGGCUGGGCUGAGCUUUGUGAGUAAAGGAUCCUUGGGUGGCUUCAUGCCCACUGGGCAGGGAAUUUGGGUAGACUUGACUGAAAAGAGACAGAUGGCCUUGCAGUCCUAUGGAGCCAAGACCAGGGAUGAAUUAGAGACCCCCAAAUGCAGCGACAGAGCCGAGUUUAUGGAGAUGAGCAUGAAGCAUGGGAAGAGACGUCAGGCACAUCACUUAGAGCAUCAACUUAGAGCAUCACUGGAUGGAGUUUUCAUGUCAUGGUGAAAAAGGCAGCGCACUAAUGGGUCAGAGCACAGGAUUCUGCCUUUACUCAAAGAAAAUGUUUGAUACUAGCUAAAGAUAGUGAUGUGUUUUUUAGUUACAUGACAGCUGGUACCCAGCUGGUGUCAGAGACCUGCCGUGUGCUGCCUCCCUGCUCCCAGGUCUCUUCCUGGUAGCAAAUUCAUCUCCCCAAGCUCCCUGAGGAAACUCCACAGAAACAAAGAUUAAGGAAACAUUUAGCCAGCCAGGCAGGAGCACUGUCCCAGUGAGAAGUCCAUCUUAACCAGCAGGGGUUCAAAACUAAUUUGUCCAUUUGAUUUCCAAGAAGUUGAUGCCUUCAGUGCAGUAAAUGAGACUUGUAAAUGGAGGUCACAGCAGGGCCUGUUGUUUGCUUUUGCUCCUGUCAGGAGGCAAGCAUAAGGACUUUCACAUGCCACUCUGCAUUUUGAACCAGUAAUGGCAGCCUGGGAGCCUUUAAGCAGGUCCUAAUUAGCACUGAAUGAUUUCAGGGUGCUCUGCACUAGGUUGAGCAGCCUUUGCGGAGCUGGGAGGCAGUCUCCUUCGUUGCUUGAAUGACAAAAAUGUUCAUUGGGACUUGGUUUUGAAACAGCUCAAUGAAAGUGGUUAUGACAUGGCCCACAGGCCUUGAAUUGACAGCUGAUGCAACAAAGAGAAGAGGUGAAACAGCAACCAAUUAAUGUUUCUUCUUGUGCCAUCUCCAAAAGAUGAACUCCAGAGAGCUGCAGGUUUGGAUUUCAGCUGCUUACCUGAAUUUUCCUCAGUUCUUUGAUUCUGCAAAGAUGGGACUGGUUCAUAUUAAAAAAUGUGCCAAGUCAUAAAUUCCUAGUACUUCUUAACCCCUCUGUGUUUAUUUGAUAGUUUAUGAACUGUUGCUGAAUUAUUAUGAUUAGCUUAAGUCUCAGUGGCUUAUGCUUUUAACUUGGCAUGCCUCCAGUUGUGUCAAGUGUGUGUGGGUCAAAAGGAUGUGAUCUGUAUGUCUUUUAUUCACAGAACUAUAAUUCUGCAUGAGUUCUAUUCCAGUAGGGGGAAAAAAAAUCCUAAGAAAGUCAGAAGAGGAGACAUAUUGUUCUGUAAGAAUUAAUAAAUCGUAGUUUCAAUGCAUUUGUGUCACUGUUUCACCCCCAACAUUUUCCCCUUAGAAACACCUUGCUGGAGGCAUUUAUGAUCUUAAUCACCCACUCUGCAUUACCUCUGGCAUUCCUCCACCCACACCAGCUCUUUACUGUGAGCCAGAUGCUUUCCCCAUCAGCUGGAAUGUGUUAUGUUGGAGCUAUAGCUGCCAUGACUGGCUGGCCCAUGCAUGCAUGGCAACCAAAGGCUUCCCCACUACAGUCCACUGCAGUGGAUCAUCUUCUCACUCAGAGGAUCACAUCCCUCAUGGUCCAUGCUAUGUUUAACCUUUAUGUUAGCGCAGUGGAGAUGCAGGCUUUUGGGUAGCAAAUGAAAGCACACUGGAGAUAGCUUUGCUUUUCUUUAUCAUCUUCACAUGCCUUCUAGGUGCAGCCACUGCAUCCCAGGGAAUAUGUGAAACACCAUCUGAAGAUAUUUGGGUAAACUCAUGAGUCAUCCUUCAUCAGCCUGGGUUCAAAACCGCUCUAGAGCAGUGGCCAUGGACAAGUGCCUGCUUUGAUUUCUUUGUACAGAGGAGCACAGCUGUGCUGGUUUUAUUGGCCUCUUUGCAGAUUGUACACUCUGUGUGUGCCUGUAGGUCACUUAAAGCCGUGGGACCCAGAUUUACCUGUUUCCCAGUGCUACUCUACUCCUGACUCAGCACCAGUACAAGCUCCAUGCCCAACUGGAGAACCUCUGUUACAGCAAAUAUACCAUUGUCUGGGCAAGUUCAGAGAGGGUGCACUGACUUUCAAGUGUGGAAAGAAACUGGAAUUCUGCAUUCUUUACUGAUCACUUCAGUGUUAUUAAACAACAACAAAAAACAGCAAAAAAGUGUGUUCUGUUUGGAAAGUUAAUGCAGAAGGGCAAAGGGCUUUAUCUACAAAUGAAAGGUAUGCAGGAAUGAAGGAGGAGAGGAAAAACCCAAAAACUUACAGCUUAGGGAAAAAAGGGCAGUUAAGAAGGGAUUUAAUUGAUAAUGGUUUAGAUAAUGUCAAGUGAAGUUUCUAUUCUCAGCUCUAGUGCAGAUGAUGAGGCAAAAGGACUAAAUGUAGAAAUUAAAGAAAUACCCAUUCAAAGCUAAACUGAGAAACCUUUUGUCACACAGAGAAUCAUAAGCUUGUGAGAAGUCCCAGCAGGAGAGGUUCUCAAGGCAAAAUAACACUGGGGGCAUUCAGGAAAUAAUUAGCUGGCUUCCUGGAGGGAGCAAGUAGAUGUGUGUGAGGAGGGGGAGGACUGGAAUGAGAUAAGAUCCUAAUAGAAAGAAUGGAUGAGGAAUGAGGGGCCUUUAACUCAUUCCACGCAGGGAGAAAAAAGUGAGAGAGUAAGUAAAGGAAGAAGAAGAUCUGUUAUGCUCAAUUUAAUGAGCUCCUCUGGAGUGGCAGUCUAGAUCAGAUGCAUGAAAUGAGGCUCUUGGCUCAGUUGGAGAUAAACCUUUCCCGACUCACAGUAUCAUCCCGGCGGGUGGCCGCUUGUUGCAGAACAAAGUGACCCAUGGGCUGCUCCUGAUCUCUGCAGAUGGUGCACGUAUGAUGGGGAAUGUUUGCUCUUCCCAGUUCAUAGUUAUGUCAUUCAAAUGUCCCCAGCUGAAGCCCCUGGUAUGGCUUUGCAACAGUUGCUAGUUUGGACCCACGAUGCUCUUGUGUUGAUCCCCAUUUUGAUCAGAGACAGACACAUUUGUCAACAGUAUUAUUACUACCAUUAUCAGUGCUGUUGUGAAUCAAAGCGUUUCUGUAGGAAUGGCCCUUCCAGCUCUCAUAGGAGGAACUACCCAUCCCAUCUACCCUGUUUCCCCCAAAAUUAGACCUACCCCAAAAAUAAGACCUACCCAAAAAAUAAGCCCUAGCAUGGUUCUUCAGGAUUUUUGAGGAUGCUCAAAAUAUAAGCCCUACUCCAAAAGUAAGCCCUAGUUACACUUCAUUUAAGGAAAAGUCAAUUUAAAUAGUGUCCAGGAAGCUAUACAUGUAAAAAAGUAAGCAUCUUUUGGAGCAAAAAUUGUAUAAGACCCUGUCUUAUUUUCGGGGAAAGGGACUACCUCAGACACCACAUGCUUAUGCAGAGAAUUGCCCUUUUAACAUACCCGUCUCAGUUGACUAUCACUGGAAGUCAGAUAACCAUCAUACUCUUAAUCCCUGACUUUUGGGCGGCUAAAACUGUGAGAGGAAAAUCCCCCACCAAAAGCAAAAACUCCAGUUUUUACAGUAGGGCUCUGGGUUAUUUCCCUUGGGAUUUCUUUGAGCACUUUGAUAUCAUUAGCCUUUUGCAAGUAUCUUCUGAUAAUUCUUGUGCAGGAAGUUUCUGCCACAAUUGCUCUAAUCUCUGUAGUUUCUCAUUUUUUACUAUAGAAGUGAAAAAUGAUUAUGCUUUUAAAAUUAAUUUCCAUUCUAGCAGCUCAUGACAGCCCCUUUGUCUGUGUUACUUGGGACAAAGUAAAAAAAUUAAGAAAGGGAUUUCAUGAGUUUUAUCCUCACUGUUAACACACAAAACCCAAAAGCUAAGGAAAAAACUGAGCACAGUCAAAAGGUGCAAGAGCCACAGAAAGACGUAUUAAAAAUGUUUCUUCUGUACCAAACACGUUCUCUGAUGUCGUCCCUUCACAGCCAUACCCAAACCAAAGGAUGUUCUUUUUAAGACAAUAUGUGGAAGGUUUCUGGGCUCUAACCCUGAAAUUCCUGCAUAUCCUCCAAGCAGGUCACAAGUAUCUUACCCCACCUGCCUAUCAACCCUUAACUGGAACACUCACCUUUAAGGAAAAGAGUUCACCCUUUGGGCCUACUCAACAAGUGUUUUUUCAGCAGUAACUGCUAACGAGGACACCAAUUAGCACUAACUGUACUCCUAUAUAAGCAGGUGUCCACCAUGAAUCAAAGUGCCACUGUCUCAGGAUCUGACCUAACCAUUUAGCUCAGGCCACUGAACAGCUGCCAGAGGCUAAUCAAUGGGACUCGUUACCAGCCUCUGCUGAAUCUGGACCACUGGCUGUGACAUCUGGGUGCAGUCCUGUCCCCACUGCAGUCCUCCCCCCUGUCAUUAGCUGUCCCUCCUUCCACAGCCUCGCUCCAGUCUCUGUCUGAAGGAGGCGAUCUGUGCCAGUCUCUGUCCUUGCUUUGGUGCGAUGUCCUGUUAAUGACAUAUCCUGAUAAAAGUGGUUUGUAGGCUGCAAGCAACAGCUUGCCUGGAGUGUUUCAGAGCUGACAGCUACUAUCUAAUGGAUGUCCAUAUCUAUGGAUCAAGCCACUGAGAAGAGGCUGGGAGAGACUUGCCUGUAUGUAAGCAGUCUAAGACAAUGGAAUAGGAUGUUAGUAAUGAGCAGAGCUCAGACACCACUGCUAGAAACCUGCCCCUAGUCUGUCUCUCAACAGCAAAUGGUUCAGCUGAACAUACACGCCAUCCUCUUGGGUAUUUUCUGGCAGAGUCUAAACCACCAUCUGAAAUCAAGUCCAAGUUCAGGCCUGUCUCUAGCCAAAGGAGUUCCCUACACUUCAUGGGUGUGAAAAUCCAGAGCAGAUUUCACAAAAAGCAAUCCUUUCUCCCCCAGAUAGCCAUGUAUCUCUGCUGGAGGGCUUUCCCCAGAAUUCCCCCAGAGCAGGGGCCAUCCCACAUCAUCCCAGCAGGAAACCACUGCACCUGGAAAGAGAACCAGUUCCCUCUCUGGCUGCUCUUCUGCAGCCUGUUUCCAUUCCUUUCCAUCACAGCCUGUCAGUGCAAACAUCAAAGACACAGUCUAGUACUGGUCACAGCUCAGAAAAGGUCACUGAAGCCUAAAUCACACUCCCAGGCCAUCCCUAGGGAGAUGAAGGCGAAUGGGGCACAGUGACUGCAGGCUACAGAAAGACAGGAGGAAAGCUGGCAUCUUCCCUCAAGACCCCUGACAAGGGGUAAAUAAGUGAGGAGAUACAAAGACUGGAGAUUAGGAUUUGGUCUUAUUGAUGGAGAAGAAAUUGUGGGAGGUCUGGAAGGGGACAACAGAGGGUGUACAAACCCUUUAAUCUGGCAGAUAGCGUCUGUCGGGGAUACAUGUUCCAGCCUGCUCCAUGACACUGUAGAUCAUGUUAGCCUUUGUGCUGGUUUAAUUGGAGCUUUGCAGUUGCCCUUGGUCACUGCUAAUUGCCUUAAUUGAAAUGGCGUGCGUCUGCGCAAGUGGGAAUACAUGCCUGUGUGGGUUUAAGAGGAAAAUACAUCUUCAGUGUUCCCAGCUAUUGUCCGAUGAGUCUGGGCUGAAUUAUGUGAUUGCAUCAGCUGCCUACUGUGCUUUAGAAAAGCUGGUUGGAUUUAUUGCGAGCUUAUAAAACCCCAGAUUUAGACUGCAUUGGUUGCACUUGGUGACUUGAGGGAAGAGGAGAAUAGAAGAAGAAUGGAGCAGUUGUCUGGUUUUGUAGUGCUGCUGGUGUGGGAUGUCUACCUGCACUCCUUCUCCCUGCCCUCAGCAUGUCGUCUCCAGCUGACUGAGCUCUGUACAAGCAGCAAACUGAAUUAGACCAGGAGCCCCCAUUCUGUGCAUUCGUUUCCUCCAGUCUGUAAGCAAUGGGACAGGGUGGUAGUGGGAGCCUUAGAAAUAUCACAAGACACAUUUGAGUGGGGGAGGAGACAGAAACUCCUCUGCCUUCCCUACCUCUGAGCACACAUGUUCUCAUCAAGAAAUUUAACUCAGUGAACCUCUGCACCCAAACUGUAAUUGAAAAAUACGAUAACAGCCCUUAGCAUGUUGACAGGUGUCUCUUCGCUCCAGCAAGUGCUUUUUACCAUAACCAAUUGUCUAUAAUGGCAUGAAUCUCCCCCAAAAGCAGAGCCCAUCACUCGACCACCUUGCUGAAGGCUCUCAUUUCUAAGCAGUCAUACGAAAGCUGUGACUUGAGUUGAAGAAGUCCCAUACUUUGCAGUGAGAAGCCCAAGCAAAGGGCAGGACUCAAGGAACACCUCUGUACAUGGCAUUCUCAUACUGGCAACUGUCUGCCUGGGAUCCUCCAAGGUCUUUUGUUCUCCCUCAUUUCACAGGGAGAUGAGGUGCUGAACUCAGGUGCAUGGACUCUGCUUGUGCCAGUGACCUGGGCUGCUGUAAUACCAGGACUAAAUCCUUUAGUUAUAUCUGGGCCUAAGACUCUCCAUCAUUGCAAGAGCCUGGAAGCUUGCACAGAUUUUGGCAUAAGGAAGCUUUGGCAGCAGGCUAAGAUGCAUCACUUUGAGUUAAUUUAUAAGAACUUGGACAGGGAGAGAGUUCAUUUAAUUGAAAGAUGUAAUUAUCAGGUGUUGAAGGCAAAGGGGCUCAUUAAUUUCUGAGACAUGCUGUUGACUGAGCUGUCCUCAUUUUCAUUUUUCACUCAAUAUCAAGGCUGAAUCUGUGUGUUGGGGAGGCUGGAAGACACCAGAUCACUAGUAGUCUUCUGUUUGUUUUAUUUUCCGCAGGGUAGAGAUUUUUCUUUAGCCCAAGAGUAACCACAGAGUGUGAGGUCCUGCCCUGCAUUGCAUGACAACAAGAGCUCCCAUUGGGAUUUUGGCAUAAUUUCCUUAGGGCCUGGACCCAGAGGACUCACAAACCUUCUGGUAAAAGCGUAGACUGGGCUAAGGUGGAAGGUGAUGGAUCACACAGGUCAUACCCAGUGACAGAAAGGAAGCUACGAACUCCCUGAACACAUCUCUUCUCCUUCUUCAGCUUUAAGCUUUAUAUACAGCCCUGAAACGGAGAAGACCAUGGUGCUUAGAGGAUACAAGGCCUCCUAAAGGAGGGAAUCCCACCAUGGACCAGUGAGAGGCUGUGGCUGCAGGCUGUGUCAUUUUUGCCAAAAAAAAGCCCAAAUCACAAACCUCUCCACCUGGAUUCUUACACCCAUCCUGCUAUUGCUCCCUCCUCACCUCCACCCCUGACAGAAACUGAAACUACCCUGAUGUCACCCUCCUCACAUUGGUAUUCCCUCCAGCUUGCCAGUCUGCGCUUAGAUUUAUGAUUUAUUUAGAAUUGGAUUACACCGAGGCUCAGGGCCAGCACUCCCUAAUCCGUCACCGUCCCCGCCACAGCCGUACACAAACAUUUGUUUUAGCUGCGUCAGCAUCUCUGGCUCCUGAAGAAGGACGCCCAUUGUUAAUUGCUAUGGCAACCACAAGUCAGGUUUGAGCUUUUUUUUCCUUUGUUUUUAAUACUCCUUUCCCUACCGAAAAGCACUGGCAUUGUCAAGUGAUAGAUAUUUAUAACUUAAUAUAACAGUGGCAUGUCUAAGUUAUGCUGUUGAAAUGCAUCACAGCCCAAGUUGUUCUGUUAUUUGUUUUUGUGCUGAAUAGCAGCAAGCGCUUUAAGUUAUUGUCCUCGCACACCCAUAAAAAGGGAAAAUAAGGGAUGUAUAAUUGUUGCUCGUAUUUAUAGCAAUUGGAUGCAGAAUGCCAGGGUGCAAGGAAGUCUGCUUUCAGCAAUGUCACCCAAGAUGAUACCGAGGACCUUGUUCCCUUCAAAUACGCUGAUCAUGAAUGUCUAUUUGAAUUUGGGAAAUGAAGGUUUUGGGCUUGGAUGAACCAACUGAUUAUACCAGGGAUAUUUUUGGCCCCAGCUGGCUAAAGUUUGAUGAGCUGAGAUGAGCACGCUCAAAAAAUGAGGAACCAACACAAAAAAUAAUGAGUAAGCCCUUUGAAAUUAUUGAGCACAAGUGCAAACCAGGAAACAAUCCAUCUUUAAUGCACUAUGACACACAUGCAAAAAGUUUGAGCUCAGACAUCUAUUCUUCUCCAGAAGCCCCUCAGGGGGACGUGAUGCUCAGACACGAUGCUCCCCAACUCAGCUGCUCUUGGGUGAGGGACCUGACGCUACUUCCCUGUAGCUGCUGGGUGGGCUGGGGGCUGCAUAAGAAAUGGCUCGUGGAGCUGGGGUGGAAUGAGGUAGCAGGAAAUAGGGCAUUUUCUUAAACAGCUUUAAAACCCAUCAGUGAUUUGAUUUGCUUUCUGAGAAUGGUUUAGCUCAACAAACAAUUGCAAGCUACACAGUCGCAAGGUAAAAUGAAAAGCCCAUGGGCAUUAAUUAUAUAUAUAGAUAUUAAAAAAGAAGCUACUGCUUAAUUAUUGUUUGCAAAUCUCGGUAUUUAAAUUGACUUAUUUGCAAAUGUCUGUUUAGAAAUUGACUUUGUAAUUAUAAAGUCGGUGCAGGCAUAUCACAGGCCCUGGAGGGGUCUCUAACGAGGAAUGAUAAUGUACCAGGCAAAGUGAACUAUCCUGAGCUGCAUUUUAAUAACUAAGAGGUGCUCGGAAGGGGGAGCGGAAGGUCCACGAGAAAUCCCAAAGCCAACAAAAGAAGAAGCAAGAGGCAGAGGAUAGAGCGAGCUGGCUUCACAAGGCAAAGGGCUAAUGUGUUUGAGAAGGGGUUUUGGGGGAAAUGUCAUCUCUUCCUGAAGCCCCGCAAGAGGAGUCAGUUGGCAGCGACCUUGGUUUCAGCUCUUGCAUGUGAAUGAGACAGUCUGCUGGCAGCAAAGUGCAGGCUGCUGCAGAGCUGGAGCUCCCCACCGGAGGAAAAGAUGCCAUCCAGCAUGUACCCAGCCACCCCUCUUUACAAUGAGGGUGGUAAAAUACUGGCCCAGGUUGGCCAGAGAGUGGUGGAUGAACCAUCCCUGGAGACAUCCCUGGCCAGGCUGGACGGGGCUCUGAGCAACCUGAGCUGGUGAAGAUGUCCCUGCUCAUGGCAGGGGUGGCACUGGGGGAGCUGGGAAGGUCCCUUCAGCCCAAACUAUUCUGUGAUUCUGUGAUUCUCAGCAAGCACUCCCUGCAGCAGCCAGUACAGACUCAUGUUGUCUGCCCAUAAACCCCUUGAUGGACACAUUUGUGUGUAGUACUGAGGGCAGCUGACACUGCCCUUUCUCCAAUAUAUUAGUAAGUAAGGUAGUUCCCAAAACUAACACACUUUUGCUGGACUUGAAGCCAUGUUAACCACACUCCGUGGUUGAGGAUCACCUACAAGAGGGUGUGGAGAGUGUCUCCAUGUGCCUGUGGCUGCGUUCUGUCAAGUGAAGGAGGUGUCCUCUUAUGGGAUACAAGUUUUUCUGGGUGAAGAGAGGCAUAUUUUACCAGGCCACAAAUCCUUGUCAGUCCCACAGCAUGUGCAAUAACUCUUAGGAUUUAACUUCAGCACAUGUCCAAGAGAUAAGUAUAUCAAUGGUGAAACAAGACUUCUAUCACCUUUUGCUCUCCAUCAUCUUUGACAACAGUACUGCUCAUUCUCCAGAUCUAGUGGUCUAGGGCAUUUCUCUUUUACGGACCAUCACUAUUAGCUUUAAAACCAGCCACUGCCCCAUGAUUUCUUGCAUAGUUCAUUAACCAAGAGGGAACAAAGCUUGGCUGCUAAGCGGCACAUUAGCAAGAUCAACAGCUGGCAGGAUGCAAAAAUAAUAACAAAAAAAAAAAAUCAUAAGCAAAAGCUCCAGCUUUUUUACUUGUCUGCUAUGCAUAGUCAUGUUAUCCCUUAUUUGUGAGCAUUCAGAUGGCACCAGUAUAUUCAUGAAAAUGUGGCAGCUUAAGACAAGGUCUGAAAGUUAAAUAGGAACCAGCAUCCUACUGGAGCAGAAUAACAUUGCUCUUUUGAGUGAAAUUAUGAGUGAAAGUGUGGUCCUUGUGAAAUCAAAGGCAAACACCCAAACAGCUUUUUUUUUUUUUUACAUCAUUGUGAAGGCAAAGGAACUAUGCAAAUUAAAAACCAGCUGCUUCCCUGACCAACACAUACUGUGUCAGUAUAAAAGCACAACUCUGAUGGACUCCACACCCUCCUGAUCUGUCUCUCUACAUGCAACACGUUGCUUAGUGUUUGCUGUCUGUUCCGCUGUGCAUCUUGUGCCUGUUAAAUACAGAACAAAUUCUGCUUGGAGCAGCUGUAUAUGCCUUGUUUGAGAGAGAUAAGAAACCCCACCCAUUGAAACCAUUGGCAUAUAAGACCCAAAUUCCUUUUUGUCUGCUUGAGCAGGCUAGAAAUAAGAUAUCUCCCAUCUGGAUGCCAGGUAGCUGUACUAGGACAGAGCUGUAAACAUAAGAUCGCCACUGAGAGAUCUGUUCAUAGGUUCAUGGACUUCGACAUUUUAUUCAGCGUGUGUGAUAGAACUAGCCUGGUCAAUGACAUUUAGAUUUUCUAGUUGUCCUGCUCACCCAUCCAAUGCAUUUGGUUUUUAGUUACAUAAGUGAAGCAUUAAAAAAAAACAAAACAAAGCAAAGCAAAACCCAAACCCAGCUUGUGUUGAAUUAGAAAGGAAAAAAAAUACAGCCCUACAAGCAUCUUGAUUAGAUUUGAAAUGGAAGUGUAAGCUACUGGUCUCAUUAGUCUAAAAAAAUGUGCAUUGCAUCUUAGUGUCACUGUGUCUAACAGAGAAAUGACCUGUUGUCCCUGCACAACUGCAACCUCUCCUCCGUUGGCCUUUGCACUGUGAGGUGUGUUCAGGUUCACGCUGUAGGAUCAGGGCAGGAUCCUGUGAUCCUGCACAACUCACACGUUCCUCCCCAGGUGGGUUCUGCUCAGAGCUCUAUAGCAUCCCGUUUAUAUAUUUUUUCCCACAAUCCUUUAAUUCAAGGGUUGUGCUAGGACAACAAUUGUUCAAACAAGAAGCAUAUUACAUCUCAUAGUCAUGCAUUAAUUAAAACCAUGCAAAAAUCUCACAAAGUUUGUCACUGAGUCAGAGCAAAUGGGACCUAGAGAUAAUUAAUGACUCUCAAUGACAGUUCUUGAAAAAUUGGUUUCUGGCAGCAAUCAGCAUAUGCUGGAUAGGUUUCUAUUUUAUAAGCCUGUUCUGUUCUUAAAGACACAAGAAAUAGCAAAAGCAGGCUGUUCUUUUCAAUAUUAAUUAGACCAUUAUUUAUCUGGAAAAUAAAAUUUUUUGGUUUAGAUACUUACAUGUCAGCUGCUGAGCAUUCCACCCUAAGUCACUUAAUAGCCCAUUAAGAAAUUGUUGUGAUGACUAAUUAUUUAUUACAAAUCCAGAAUCUGUUUACUAGAUAUCAUUAGUUUUGUUAAUUAAUAAGAUUACCUCUUAGAUCCCAAACUCGUUAUGCCUAUUCUGGCAUUGUCUUGAAAUACAACGUGUAAAAUAUGAUGCGCCGUGCAUUCUCCUAUUAGAGUGUUUUAAGUUCCGUAUAAGAACUAUGACUGCUUGGUGCUUCACUGUGAACAUAUCAUUAAGCCUGAUGACAACUAACAGCUAGUAAUAACAAACACUAAUAGGGGGCUUCGUUUUACCUUCAGGAUCAAUGGAGCUGUAGACACACAGUGCCUUUGCAUUUACCUGUGCUACUGGUCAAAAUAAAGGGUGACAAGUGGUGGCACAGCGUGGCUAGCCUGAGUUAGCCAACCAGUGAGCUGAAGGCAACCUAGAUCUUAGCUCAGGUGAUUUACUGGAGUCCAAGUCCACCAGUGGAACUGAAUUAAGGUUAAACCAGGGGCCUGAUGGUCCCCUUUAUCCUCUGAUUAAAAGAAGAAUUUAUUCACAAGUCCAGAACCCAAUCCUUGUCCCUCCACACAACCAUUUCUCACCCAUUCAAAGGCUCUUAAAACUUUCACACGUAGGAUGGGUGCUACAGAGCCCUGCCCAAAUGCCUCCGCUCCACCAGAGCAUCCUUCUGCAACACUGAGAUGACCAAGUUCUCUGGCUGAAGAAGCUGUAUCACGUUCAUCAACUUCAGUGGGCUGACCUUGAGGAGAGCACCUUGGACUCUCUCUGUGUGGAAACAGCACCACUUCUAAUGAAAAUCCAUACUGAGAGGGUAUGCAAAGAUCAGACUCGAUUAAUUCUUUCCAGAGGUGCCUCCUCAAUGUCAACAUUGAUCUGCUUCCUAGGCGUAUGGUUUUCUCUCCACUGACAACCAUAUGCCAGUCAGAGCUCUGCUGUAUUGUAAAUUUUAACAGAUAUGGAGAUAGGAUCAUUAAAAUACCCUGAGAAUACAGAGCAAGUAAUUGUUUUGCUGCUUUUGCUAGGAAAAAUCUCACAGUAGCACCGAAGAAAUAAAUCCUAUAGGUCAAUCUUAUGGCAAAGAAGUUAGUCCUACAAUGAAAUUGGAUGAAAUGCCUGAGGAUAGGGAUCAGUAUGUGAGUGUCUUGUCUAUGCUAAAAAGUUGCUGCUUUAUAAAGCAGGCUUGUAGGACAACUGCAGAAAUACACAUGCAUUUUAUUUCUAACCGCACUCAUGGGAAAAUAAAGCCAGCCUAGUCUCUGUAAGCGGCCAGUCACAGAGUGCUUGCAUUUCUGAUUGCCCUCGGAUGGGUUUUUUUCCAUUAGAAAUAGCUUAGCGAUAAAUCAUUUUAUCUUACCAGAAGGAGGAAAGCUCAACAACCAUCUGUCUUCCUACAUAUGCAACAGGACCUUUUGGAUUCAGACUGUAUUUCUACAAGUCUGAAGUUGUAUAGAUGCUGGCUUUGGAUUCAGACCCAUAACACAACAGAGACGUGCAGCAGCCAUUCAAAUGGGCUUCUGAUAGACUUCACCUAAAUUUGGAGGCAUCAAUUUAACCCCAUCUCCCGUCAGCUAUUAAUUGUCUAAUUGAGUUCAGGUGCAACCAAUCUUUGCUAAUGGGCAGGCCAUCUUUUCAUUAUAAACACAGACUUGGGAAGAUUGUGCUCUAAGGAGGUCUAGUUAGCACUUCCAAGUAGUGAUGAUCUGUUUUAACGGUGACUAUUAUUAUUCAUAAUAUCCACUAGGCAAGACCAUGCCAUUUUGAUGUCCUUUUUGAGGCCAGCUUCACUAUUACUCAGAGAUCUACCUUUUUUUUUGUUGUUGUUCACCUUCUAUCAUUAUUGGUUUAAAUUCAAGUAAAUUUAAACUACAAAAUGAAGAAAAAAAAUAGAAACACCCUCAUUUAAAAAAAAAAAAAAAGUAAAGAGGAAAGAGAAAAAUUCUUUGAACUUUGAAACUGAAGCUUUUUCAGCCUUGCAAAUAAUCACUACAUGACAAAGACAGCACAUGCACUGAAGAUAUAUCGAGGGCCCUGCUGUCUGAAAGGUCACAAGCAUACAUGAAAGAUCUCCUUGCCAGGGUAAGUGGUGCCCAAGAAAAAUGCACUGAGAAUUGCCCACUUUUCAAAGAAGUUGCAAACAAAUGAGUACAGCCUUUUGAGUGGGCGGCGCGAUUACAACUGGAUGCCUUCCUUAAAAUGCCUCUAAAGGCAACAGGAAGAAGUCAAAUUAAACCAUCAAUUCAGCAGCAUUUUUCUACUCAUCACGCUGGCAUUUCUAGAGAAAGAAAGGUUGCAAACAAUCCAGAAAGAGAUGUCUGUGCAGAGUUCUGAGUCCUUUCCAUGUGCUAGCCUAUUCCAUUCACUUUUUGUGUCUCACCUGCACCAUGCAUUUCCCAGCAAUGCGUUAAACAACAUGUGCACGUUGCUGAACCUCCUGCUCCGAUGUUAACUGCUUUGACUUCCACAAACACACCAGCCAAGAACACAUCACAAAAGUACCUAACCUCAUCUUGAGAGCGGGAGAGGGAGAAUUAUGAGAACAAGCUUAAAGGAAAAGAAGGAGAGGGAGACAGAGAGAUUUUAUUGCUCAAGGGGAAAAAAAGAGAUUAUAAUUGAACUGCAGAAAAUUCUCUACAUCGCGGGUAAUGGUGCCUGGGUUACCUCUCUUUAUCUGUGCAAUAGAGAUUAGCAAACGGGGUCAUAAAGGGAAAUUAAAGUCAAAUAAAUUCUGGGCCAGCACUUGGUAAGUACUGAUUUCCUACCAUUUAGAAAAAGGAACAUCGCGGGAAAUGAAGUGGCACAGCAUAAGGCAGCAGCAGUGGAGAGAGCCACGCUGCCAUCAACAGCGAACCGAGUGGGGACGGAUCACUCCCUUGUCACAGACCAUCUUUGGGGACAGAUUGCCCCCUUGUCACAGACCGUCUUUGGGGACAGAUUGCUCCCUUGUCACAGACUGCCUUUGGGGAGGAUUGCGGGAAGUUUCCUCCAGAAAUAAAGGGCUGUUCAGUGGGGAUUCUGGCAGAUUGAAGCCCCAAGCACUUCAGAAAUUGAGGUCUAAGGCAAGGUCAACACCAGAAGCAACACUGGAGACAUAAGAUAUUGUCUCCCCACUGUUUCUUUUUCGUUACUCCUGUCCUGCAGGUUCCCAUUUUCCCCAGAAAGAUGGAUGAAUGUAAAGCAUGUACAUGUGGUGACCACUUCCAUGAGCAACUGGAGACUUAACCAUGAGAGACACUGAGCCUCGGACCUCUCAUUGAAGCAGAUGAAAUGCUCACACACAACCACAUUUCCCACUCGUUUGUGGUGGUAAUUGCCAAGACACAGCAAGGGGAGGGAGACACUCCAGGUGCACCUGGCAGAGAUCUCCAGUCUUUAUUUGACAGACCCUUUGGGACCCCAAGUCCUGUUCCUGACUCGGUGGUUCACCUUUGCAGUGGGGUGUGUUGGAUGUCUGCAGCCAGCGCUGUCAGAAAUGACAAGAGGAUUUGGAGUCUAUUAUUCUAAGAUUUCCCAAUCUGAGACCCUUCAAGAGCUUGAUUCUCCAAAAAUGCUGGGAAAAAAAAACAAAAACAAAACAAAAAUAAACCCACAAACCCAGCCCCAAACAAACAUUAUUACAAAUAACUUGGGAUCUGUUGAAAGCUCUUUCCCACUCUUUUCAGAAGUGACUGUUGCUUGUGAUGCAUGUUUUUCCUUGGCUUUCUUAAGUAAUUUUUACUGACCUUCACAAAAAUAUUGCAGCACUGCUGGCCAGUAAAAUAUACAGGGAAGUUUCUGAAGGAAGGAUGAUGUCUAUAUUGAGGUUUCUUUCUGCUUUUCUUGGACUGCCAAAUUAAAUCAGCAUUCACCUUCCUCCCCCUUGCCUGGACGAGCAGUACAUGGUGAAGAAGAAAAAGAUUCAGCUGUCAGAAGCUGUCAACUGGUGAAAGAGCUGGACAGCCCACUCCAACCUAUCCGCUGCCCAUUAUUUUGACGGUGAACUGGACCUUCCAUCUCCCUAGUAAGUCCUGUGCCUGGCAGUGUUGUGGGCAGGUGAGCACAAAACUGGCUCAGCAGCUGAGGCACAUUAAGCUUUGCAGCAAACAGCGUCAGCCUUAUUCCUCAGAAACUGGGCAGUAGUCUAUGCCGGGGUUAUUAGGCUGUGUUUGCAGUGCAAAGAGCCUAGUUAGGUUCAAGUAGGGCAAGGAAAUUGGUCUUGCAAGAGAGAAUGGGAACAACUGGAGGAGUAAAGCUGGGGGUGCAGGUAGCAAAGAUGGACAGAGAUUGGAGACAGAAAUAAUCCCAUAUGUGCUCUUCUCCACUCACCCCUUUCAAGCAAAUGUGUUCCCAACCAUUCAUUCCUUCACUCCCUCCCUCUUCCCCCUCUUCUCUCUUGACUUAUUUGAUGCUGUUUGAAAUCAAGCACUUGGUUUACCCUUCUCAAGCAGAGCUGAUCUCUCCCAGCAUGACUCUGACUGCAGCAGGAGGCACAGCGGGAUGCUGGAUAUGGAAACCUGGCAUUAGUAUCACUUUCAGAUGACAGCAGAUCAGAGAGCUGGUCCUGGGAGCGAAUUAAUAUAGGGCUAGGAUUCACUCGGAGGGUUUGCUGGCUGUCAUACUCCUCUCGAGAUGUGAGAGGGAAUUAAUGUGAGGGGCUGGGAUUCACUCUGAGUGCUGUGAUAUCUGCCUGUCCUCCCCAGGGGAUGGGUUUGCUCCAGAGCCUGCACGUACCCCAGGGAGCAGAUGAGAAGGUCCCGUAGUUCCUGAUGACCUCCUGAGCUAUCGGUUAACUGUCUGAACCAAAAUCCACCAGCGUGGAUAACCAAGGGUUAGUUUAACCUCAAAUAAACAACCACUUGGCACAGAGUUUUCUUGCUCCAGUGUGAUCCCAAGGGAUUCACACUCUGGACUGAUACAAACAGGAAUGUCAUGGAAAAGUGUAGCAAUGCCCUGAUCUCCAGUCAGCCAGGGGACAAGGUACCCUCAGAGCCACUGGAACCCAUCUUUAAAUGCCCUUAGACAAAUGGAGGACUUGAACCCAAGGGGCUCCCUAAUCACUGACUCUCUGUACAGGCAUGGACAGGACAUGUUUCUCUAAUGAAGGAGAACAAAACCCCACAUGUGAGUGACAAAAACUGGCUUUGUGUGCAAGAGCUGCUGGUUAUCCAAUAGCAGGGCCUUUCCCAUAAACCCUCAUGCCUGAAUAAAACAACAUCAGAUGUUCUUAAAUGAUUUAUCUCAGCCUUUAAAUCAUAGAAGGCCAACCUAUAGCUUUUUGCCUACAUGUGGUCUGCCAGGAGAGGUUAUAGACCUCCAUCCUCUCCCAUUCCAAUGUGGCUGACAAGGAUUUUGACAGCAAUAUGGAGAUUUUCUGGUGGUCACCAUCAGUCUAUUUUUGUUUUAUGUGGUCCGCAACGCACCUCCUCUCUCAUGGUGAACUUGUUCGCCCAACAGCAGUGCACACGUACAAGGUCUUGUGUACAGGUGUGUUUGUAACAAGCACGAACAUAGAAAAGGGCCGCAGACAAGACGGAGUGUCAUUGCAAUAGAAAGUGACCCUCAUUUUGGGGAGGUUAAUGGUUAUUUAGAACAAUGCAUCCCUGAGCCAGUGUCUGUGCUGGGCAGGAGGCAAAGGGAGGAUUUGCUCCCUCUUUUUGAAGGGAAAGAGAGGUUUGGAGCCUGGAGCAUAAACACAGCUGAGGAUUCUGAAAACAGACAAUAUCCUUCAAAUGCAGCCUAGGGAGGCGAUCGAAUCAUUGUAUACCCCUGAUUUCUUGAGAAGAGAAAACAAAAUAAAAAAAAACAGAAGAGGAAGGAAAAUAAAGACAGAACAAUGGAAAACUAAGCACUGGAGGAGACAGCUUCAAGUAAUUACAUUGUGGAAGCAUCCCACUGGGAAGCAGCAUAUGCUGGAGGAGCCCUCGCUGGGGACACAGGAUCCGCGGGCAGGAGGGUGCCCAGGAAAACCGGCAGCUUCAAAGCGACACACGCCAGGCCAAGUUCAGAGCAGCUCCAGCUCUGGUGAGCUCAGCCUAAUGAUGCCAAGGGAUGAAAAUAUCCUUGUGCUUAAAACAAAAAAUCCCUUCCUUCCAUUGCCAAUAGCACCUGGUAACAAGCAGCAGGCAAGGGGCUAAUAUUAUAACAGAUAUUUGGGUUACGGGCUGUCAUUUAGUAUGGGUGAGAUAGGGGUACGUCACUCAGUGCCCCUGCUAAGAGCUGUGAGGCUGCUCAGCUCUGCAAAGAUAUGCGGGGAGCUGAGAAAUGACAUUUAAUUGUAUAACUGAGAUCAGAGGUUUGGUCCCCGUUCAUACAGCACUGAGCACAGGGGGCUCCACAGCUUGCUUUCUAGCGAUCAACAUCACUGUAUUUAAGUUGUAACUUUCCAACAAAAUAGAAGAAAAGUUAGGAGUCGAUGCCUUGUAAAACAGUUGAAAACAGUUGCGUCAGAAACACUGUAUUGCUGGGGCUGUGCUGGCAGCGCACCCGGUUUGGAAAGCAAAGCUGAAUCACGCCAGUGUUCUGGUUGUGCUUGGUUUUUUGUUGCUGUUUGGAAAAGCCUGACAAAUGCUUCUGUGGCUUUGUUUCUAAGAGCCCUGUACAUUAUAUGUUUACAUUUUUAAUUUUUAAAAUAUUAUAAAUGUUUGUGUUUUUUAAAUGGGAACAUCUUGGUCUUGCUCUGUAAAGAUAAGUAUGUUUUUAGAGGAAAAAUAAAUUCCAGCUUCUGUCCUGAAAAUGUUCCACUUAUAUUUAUUUCACUUCAAUUUGGUGGGGGGAGAUGGUGUACAGGAUGCAACCAUAUGUAGUGUUGCUUUAGAGUCCAUGUUAUGCUGAGAUUUGGGACUAUCACUGUAAAGCCAACCUGGACCUGCCCGUGAUGGGUAAGAUUUCACUGCUUCAGAGCUGCCUUCGGCCCAAGAAAUUCCCCCUUUCACCUCCCCGUGAAGAGGCUGCCACAGGACAUUGAUGUGCCUGUAAAUCCGUAGUCUGAUGGUUUUCAAUCUGGAGUUUGUGAAUCCUUGGAGGCCCUCUGUUAUUUUGCUAACAGAUCCAUGAGUGGUAACUACAGAGAGGAAGUCUGUUGUGGCAGAACUCACAUCUGCUACACAGGGUCUACGCCUCCCUUGGGGAGAAAUUUAGAGGGCUUGCAAACUGCAAACUGCUCAGAGAAAUACUCCAUUACCAGCAAAAAAUACCCCCCACAAGUACAUUCUUGAUACACAGGGCAGCUCGUUAGGUUUGGACAUUUUGUAAAGUUCUAUGAUAAGGACAAGAUCUUAUCAUGCAUCUUUUCCCAGCCUCUAUCCCUCUCUGCCUCCUCCCAACCUGACACAUCCUCCCUGCCCACAAAAUGAGGAAAAUGUCAUUCACACAGAAUGCUCUUCAGCGAUUCUGCUAUUGAUCCCCACCAGUUUCAUUUCAAUAUUGACCAGCUUCAUGAUGGUAAUUGAAGAGAGAUGCAAGUGAUGGAAGAGUGAAGAGAGCAGCGCUGAGCAGAUC